CUGGUAGCCACAUUCAUGAUGAUAUAGACCGAGUGUCAAGAUCCACUAAAUUAGUGUCAGUUGUAGCUCAGUGCUCGUGGCUUGCGGGUGUGACUUUGGCUGCUGUCUACUGUGAGGUUUAUUUAGCACAUUAUUUCCAUUCUGCAAUAUGGGGACUAGAACUGAGCAACAUAAUCAAAAUGAGAUCUUACCAGUGAUUGUGUAUAAAAUUGAAACUCGAGCCACGGAGGCGUUGACCCCAAAAACCCUCUCCAGGUAAACUCCAGGUGAUAAUGUCUCCUGCACCAUGUGCUGCUACUUUCUUAGUCUCCUGUGUGGAACUUUAUCAAAGGCUUCACUGAAGUCCAUAUACACAACAGCAUAUUCUUUAUCUUUGAAUACCACCUCAAAUGCCCUAGUGAGAAAGUGCGAGUUUAGAAUGGUAUAUGAACCUGCUGUUCCACCUGGAAAUAGAGCAGAGUGAGCAUGGGGAGAAAGUGGUGGAACAAUUCCUGGAUAAACAGAUAUAUAGCCAUUGGACUCCAGCUGACUUGAUCUCGAUGAAAAGAAGAAGCAACAUUUUAUCGCUGGCCUCAAGACACUAAUGCAGGAAGACCCAAUUGGGAGUAGGUGAGGUGUGUGUAAUCCACAAGCCAUGGUCAUCCUGGGAAAGUCGAAGCCUAUCUGGUAAACCAUGAAGGUGAAAAUGUAUUCUUCUCCUUCCCCACCUGGUAUGUAGAGGACCUGGUUGACCAGGCAAGCACGAGACAAGCUUGGCCCAUGGCCGGGCUCCAAGAGUAGCAAGAUUCUCGAAACUCAUCAAAGCUGGGACUGUGACAACAGAAGCUCCACACCCUAAUGCUUCCUCCUAGAGGAAGUAGUUUGAAGUUGCCCUCCCCCUCUUCCUUUGAGAAAGAGGAACCACUCCCCAAAAGGACCUGGCCUUUCUUUAACCAAUAAGAGCUUUGGAUCAGACACCUUGUGGGUUAAAUCUGUGAUCAAGGACCAGUCUACAAAGGUGAAGUGAGCCGACUGUCGGUAGUAUUUCCUCUGUGGACAUUACCCAGAUGGUGGCUCCUGCUUCCUUUGGCUCAAUGUGAUUUCUCGUUCAGUGGAGCUGUUAGGGUAUUAGGCGCCAUACUAAAAACAUUCAUGUCCUCUUUAAGACUAUGGCCUAUCAGUUCUGUGUUUGCUGGAGGAGUUAUCCCAGGGUUCCAUGUUUUUUUUCUAUGUCUCUUUACUUCCCUUCUGGUGUAACUGCUAAGGAAGGUGUGGGUACAAUGCUAUGCUGCUGUCCAGAGUGAGAUUCAGUAUUGUAUAUUCCACAGCCUGCAGGCUGUAGCAAUCUGGGUAAUUCUGCAGGGGGACAUGACAGUGUGCACCUAGUGUGUCCUCCAGAUUGGGUUUUAGACCUCUGAUCUUGCUGACUCAAUCUGUUAGCUACCCUGUUUAUUUCUCCUGAAUGACUUAAUACUCACCACUACAUGUGGGAUGCUGUGCUAACUCCUUUGGAUAUUAGUAUCCUAAAUGAUGGAUCUCUGACCUAUCAUAAUGUUCAUAUGAAUGCCUUCAUAGGCAUAGGUCUCUCUACAUUCCAUUUGUGUAUCUGGACUUAUGAUGAUGGCCUGUUUUCCUUUAGGAUUCCUUCCUUCAAUCUGACCUCUGCAGUGGAAGUUGGAAGCUGGUGACUCUGAGGCUCAGGCAGAUGAUGUCUUGUGAUUUUUAUGAUGUGCAGGGGCCUAUGAUCAUUUUGUCAUCUGGGAGGUGGAGGCUAGCAUUCAUUGGUGGCUCAGGGUGUUAUCUGCUGAUCCCUUGAUAGGACUGAGAAGCACCAUUGGAUUGUGUAUACAUUCCAUCAUUGCCUCAGGGGCUAUUAUUUCCUGGUUAAUAAGCUGAUAUACCAUUGGGUAUUACUCAUCAAAAGGAGGGUAUUCAGAAACACCCAGCAUGUCCUGGGUCCAUUGCAUGGAGAGGCGAGGUUCUGACCAGAGCUUUGGUGAGAUGGGGAAGGAAGGAUAGGUAAGGAUGCAUGGAGGAACUGACUCCAAAACUCCUGGACAGAUAUGGAAUGAGGUCAGAAAGAAGUCUGGGGAAGUACUCCCUGAGCCCACAUUCUCCAUCAUGGUCAAACUGACAACCAUUGAGGUGGCCAAUGCCUUUUCUAAAGGCUUCUCCUUUGUCUCAAGCCUUAGGAAUUACAGUAAUGAGACUUGUAAAGAUGCUGGGAAGGGAUGGGGGAAUUGAGGUCUGCCUUAUUGGCAUUGCUCUCCAUGGCUCUGGGAAUGGACAGGGUCCACUUUUAAAAUAUUGUGGCUCCUUCCUCUCGGUGGGAGACGGCCGACUUGUUGAAAAAAAAAAAAAAAAUGAGGGUGCUUUACCACAGUAGGUAGCUGCCUGUAGUUCUGGCUAUAAAAAAUCCAGGCCCAAACUCCAGGGUAGCCACAAGCUGCCACCUGAUCUCCGACAAGCUACAUUUGCAAGUUGUUGGAAAGGAUGUUGAAUGUUAGUCUCAUUUGGUAUCUAAAGACGAAAGGCUGCAUCCCAUUGGUGCAUUUUGGCUUCCUCAGUUUCCAUUCCCGAUAUCUUCUUUGGUUUGGCUAGCUUGUUAUGUUCAAGAUGGUUAGUCAGAUGCCUUCAUUCCUUGGCAGCCUGACACAAUGUGGUUUGUCCUUCACUGUCUAAGUCUCUGGGACUGCACUACUGUUUGUUCUGGGUUCUCCGAUAAUAAUAAUAAUAAUAAUAAUAAUAAUAGUAAUAAUUUUAUUUCUUUGUAAAGGUUACAAUGUGUAAUUACAAUUUUGAUUUGCUAGGUACAAAGAUAGCCACUAUCAUGCCAAGGCAUUUCGGGCAAACUAAUCCUAAUACAUAGUAACUAAUUAAAACUAGAUAAGAUAAUAGUACAUAGUAAUUAUUACUUAAAACUAAACAUAGAAUACGUAGUGGUUAGCUGUUUUACAAUCUUGUUUGGCCUUAAUCUUAUGUAUACUUAGUACAAAAUCUAAUUUACAAGGAAUGGUGCAGGUGGUAAUAUUUUAUGGAAUAGCAGAAUUAAAAGCCAGGAGGUCACAUGAUAAAACUAGCCAGUAGAUGUUUGGUCGAUUUGGUUAAUAUUGUGCGAUAACAUGAUUUUUUAGCAGUCCUAAAUUUAUAAGUUGUCUGGGGAUCCUUGACUUGUUCCGGUAGCGAGUUCCAGAUCUUUGGGCCUUGUAUAUGCAUAGCGUUCUUGCAUAGUGAGCGUUUUACUUGAGGGAUGUUGAAAAGGGCCUUAUGCCUUGGAUUGUGACUGUGCAUUCUGUUGUAACUGUCGAGGAGUAGUUUUAGGGGGGGGGGGUUACAGUGGACUUUAAAGUUCUGUAUAUGUAGUAGGCACAAUAAUAAGAGUGUAUGUCUUGUAUAUUUAGCAAGUUGAGUCAUUUGAAAAGUGGUGGUGUGUGCUGUCUAGCACAGGAGCUGGUUGUCACCUGCACAGCAGCUUUUUGUUGGAUUAUUAAGGGUCUAAGGUGGUUGGCUGUGGUAGUCCCAGGCACAGAUACCAUAGGUGAGGUAAGGAUAUAUUAGAGAGUGGUACAAGGGAAGGAGAGUCGUUUGUGGUACAUAAUAGCGUAUCUUGGAAAGGAUUCCUACUGGUUUGGAAAUUUUCUUGGCUAUGUGAUGGGUAUGGGACUGAAAUUUAAGAUUAGUCAAGGAGAAGGCCUAGAAAUUUGCCCUCCGUGUGCCUUGAUAUAGGCCAUAGGGAAACCAUUUAACAGUAAGUUGAGUUGAAUAUUUGAGGCUGUUGCCAAACAGCAUGAAGUAAGUUUUUUCUAUGUUAAGUGUGUGUUUGUUGGUCAUCAUCCAAGCAUAUAUUUUUAGCAGUUCAUUGCUUAGUGUUUUCAAGCACAGCUGGGUCUGAAUGGGAGUAGACAUAUGUAGUGUCAUCUGCGAAUAGAACUGGUGUAAGGAGUUGGGAUGCAUUGGGGAGAUCAUUGAUGUAGAUGAGAAAGAGGAGUAGGCCUAGGACACUACCUUGGGGUACUGCUACAACUACAGGUUGGAUAGCAGAGUUCAUUCCAUUUGCAUGUACAUACUGGUGUCUGUCAUUAAGAAUAGGAUUUUAGGUAGUCUUAUGCCAUAAUGAUUCAGUUUGAGGUGCAAGAGAUUGUGGUCAACUGUGUCAAACGCUUUUCUUAGGUCGACAAAGAGCCCCAGGGGAUAUUCAUUCUUAUCGAGAGCUGUGUAUAUUAGGUCAAGCAUUUGUAUAGUAGCAUCAUUCGUGCUUUUUUAUGGUCUAAAUCCAAACUUGUAUGGGUUAAGUUUGUUGUUGGAUGUAAGGUAGGAGUAAAGUCGCUUGUGUAUUAUUUUUUCAAAUAUCUUGGAUAGUAAGGGCAAGUUUGAUAUGGGUCUUUAAUUGUUCAAAUCAGUUGGAUCUCCACCUUUGUGGAUCGGGGUGACCCUUGCUGUCUUGAGCAUGGAUGGGAAGGUUGAGGAAGCUAUAGAUUUGUUAAACAUUGUUGCAAUAAUGGGCAACAGUUUUGGUGCAGCUUUUUUAUAUAUGAAUGGUGGCAAGUUAUCUAGAUUACCUGAUUUGUUUUUUAAUGAUUUAAUGAUGAGUGAGACUUCAGUGGGAUUAGUUGGAGCUAGGAAUAGUGUGUUUGGAUAGUUGCCAGUGAGGUACUCGCUCGGAUGGGUAUUUGAGCUAGGAAUUUGGCUCACUAGCUUUGAUCCUACGGUAGAGAAGAAGACAUUAAAUUUGUCGGCCGUGUCUAUAGGUUGCAUGUGAGGUUCAUCUGGUUUAGUUAAGUCUCUCUAUUUCCAGUCAGUUUUCUUGAGCCCAAAAUUUUGGAGAGGGUUUGCCAGGUACUUUUCAUGUCACCUUUCAUUUCACUAAAUCUAUAGUUUGUCUAGCAGAUCAUUCAAGGUGAGGGUUCAUGCUAUUUGUGGCAGUUGCCCCUUGAUGGAAUCUGCAUGGCAGCAUUUUAUGGUUCACAUGUUGUAUUCACAAAUAACCUGCACAUUGGGGAAUGAAACUUAGGAUGAUGUUUCUGUCCAAAUUGGACCAUUAACUAAUCUCACACAAGCGUGAAGGGAUGGAAGCCGUUAUAUAUAUGAGAGAGGGUUGGAUCUGGGAGAGAGAAGUAGAAGUAUAGAGGAAGUAGUGGUGGUGGUAGUAGUAGUUAGUGCAAUAGUGGCAGAGGUGGUAAUAAGGGAGUAAUGGUAUUGACAAGUCUCCCCCUCGUAUAUAUAUACUGGCUCCCUUUGCACUCGUGAGAGACUAGUCAAUGGUCCAAGUUGGACCGAAGCAUUGUCAUAAGUUUUAUUCUCUUAUGUGCAGGUUAUUUGUUCCAGUCACAGUAUUGAGCCUUUUUGUUCUUCUUCCAUAUGUUGCAUUAUAUCCGUGGAUGAACUCUGACCUCUGGUGUCAAGGCCUUCUUAAACGUUUAAUAGAUUUUGCAGUGUACUACGUGGCAUCUACUCCAGGAAUUUCCUGUCACUGGCAUCAGGUGGCAGUGGACAACUACAUAGUAUAGGUUGUUUCUAUUGGCCACUGAUUUACCACUAGAAAUGUGGUUACUGUUCGUUUUACAUCCUGGAUUCAACAGCCUGCUUCCUAUGGUGUGGUCCUUCCUGUGAUCAUUGACUGAUGUGGGCCUUUCAUAUGAAGAAACUAAUGGAUGCUCUGUAGGCAUUAAUCAUUCUUAACCUUUAAACUGUCCAAACGUAGAUCUAUGUUUUUCUUUUACACACUUUCAAAUGGAGAAAAUCAAGGUCGGAGCACUACACACACAGACGUAGAUCUACGUUUGGACAGUUUAAGGUGUUCUCCACUGUACCUGGGGCAGAUCAGGAGACAGUACACUUCCUGUAUGUGGCCUUGUGCCAUUCCAGGCUAGAAUAUGGCUGGCAGAUAUAAUGUUUGCAGGUGCUUGUCCUCAUUUCUGUACUUGCCUGUUUGUGGUUGCAGGGGUUAAAUCAGCUCCUGGCCCCACCUCCUGUGGCUUGUGGCAUGCUGCUGACUGUGAAACUCAUUUUAAGUGUCUUCAUGGCUUACAUCUUUCUGUCUUUGUUGUAAUUUUUUUAUAAUGCCUGGGCAGCCUGUUGGUAUCUUCUGGAGCACUGGGUGGUCCAGAAGAUUCUAGAGUGAUUAGCAUGUCUAUGCUUGUCACAAGGAUAUGGAGUACUGUUGGAGCCCAAGCCAUAUUAGUGUCUUGGGAAAGAAAGGCUUUCUGUAUGAUAUACCCUUGGAAAGUGGCCACCCCAGUGGAACUUAGACUGGCAGCAAAUUAUACAGUUUUUCAGGAUGUGGGUGUUUGGCCCUCCUCCUUCAACAGGAUUCAUUAUUUAAAAAAAAAAAAAAAGUGCUCGUUGAGACUGGAUCUGGCACAUGCCUCA